AUUCAUCCGAUCUACACCUAUUUCUUCCUAAAUUCGAGUUUUUGAUUUCCAUUUUGAUUUUUGGUGCAUGAACCCGAUUUCUCCUUAAACCAAGAGGCUAGGCUACGGGUUUGGCAAGGAUUUGUGGUGAAGAAGGCCAAGGAGGAGGAAUAGGCCGUGAGUUUUGAAGAAGAAAGGGAAACACGAUCGUUAAGGAAGCUUAAGCGGAAAACAUCAGAGUGUGGAAUACGCCGACAUUUUCCAUGUUACAAUGAGGUCAUUCCGGACGAUUUGGAUUAGAAGUGGGUCGUUGGCCGAGUCCGUGUGUUGCUGUUCCUGUUGCUUGAAGUUCUUCCCUUUUGGUAUUCUAUCGAUUUACUCGCUUCUCUUUCAAUGUUGAACUCUG